rfam:Candidatus Kaiserbacteria bacterium RIFCSPHIGHO2_02_FTLL_56_30 rifcsphigho2_02_scaffold_12057, whole genome shotgun sequence.
GGGGGUGAUCGGCUUUGACGGCCUGCUCUUUGAAAGCGUGCGACGCAGUGCAAGCUUGCUCAACACUCAAAACUGGCAGGCAACAAACUUGCUAACAAACUUGUUGCAAGCGUGAAGUCCCCGUACUUCGGUAUGAAGGACUUUGCGUUCGUCUACGCAUAAGCCUUUACGGCUUCGCCUAGGUGACGUCUCACUUUCCCCGGCGCCGAGAACGCAAAGUGAGGCGGAAUAUUCUCUCGGCUCGGAAUUAGGCGCUUCUCGCGUCUAGGGCUUAAAUCAAGAGAUCAGGUUGGAGUGGUUUCGUUUCGGUUCUUCGCACCCAACCUAAGUUCCGCCAACCGGUGGAUAACUGAAACUAUGCGUCGUAGACUCGCUCUCUCUGACGGGCUCGGACCGGGGUUCAAUUCCCCGCGCCUCCACAA